GCUGUAUCGAUUGUUGAGAUCUGGCGACUUGCUUAAAUUUCAUCAGCCUCACUUCUAUGGACUCUCAGGCCUCACGUGUACCAGCUCUCUGCUCUCCUUUGCCUUGGGACGUUCCAUCCCUGGAAGUUUCCCUGCCCACAUCUUUGUAGAGAGUCCAUUCUCCAAGCUUCAGUGUGUCAUCUGUUAGGACUAUGACCCACCUGGUACAUUACCUCAGGGCAUUCAUUUCAGGCUCCUUCUAAGUGGUCAAGGCACCCUUGGAAAUGCAAUGCUAUAUCUCAAUGGGAUUUUCCAGUACAGAGAUUCUUUUCAAUAACAUAAUUGUGGAUACACACCACUCCUGUAGUGGUAAACCUCAGGUUCUCCU
rnacentral:lncRNA from 1 species